GACGAACGCUGGCGGCGUGCCUAAUACAUGCAAGUAGAACGCAGUUGCGAACGGGUGAGUAACGCGUAGGUAACUGCCUCAUAGCGGGGGAUAACUAUUGGAAACGAUAGCUAAUACCGCAUACUGUGAGAUGGCACUGAGGUGGAUUAGCUAGUUGGUGGGGUAAAGGCCCACCAAGGCGACGAUACAUAGCCGGCCUGAGUGGGUGAUCGGCCACAUUGGGACUGAGACACGGCCCAGACUCCUACGGGAGGCAGCAGUAGGGAAUCUUCGGCAAUGGACGGAAGUCUGACCAAGCAACGCCGCGUGAGUGAUGAAGGUUUUCGGGUUGUAAAGCUCUGUUGUUAGGGAAGCGGUACCGAACCAGAAAGGCACGGCUAACUACGUGCCAGCAGCCGCGGUAAUUC
rnacentral:rRNA from 1 species